AAUAUUGGACAAUGGGCGAAAGCCUGAUCCAGCCAUACCGCGCGUGUGAAGAAGGUCUUCGGCGUGUAAAGCACUCUAAGUUGGGAGGAAGAGUUGUAGGCGUAUACCUAGCAAUUCUGACGUUAGCAACAGAAUCAGCAUCGGCUAACUUCGUGCCAGCAGCCUCGGUAAUACGAAGGGUGCAAGCGUUAAUCGGAAUUACUGGGCGUAAAGCGCGAGUAGGUGGUUCGUUAAGUUGGAAGUGAAAGCCCCGGGCUUAACCUGGGAAUUGCUUUCAAAACUGACGAGCUAGAGUACGGUAGAGGGUAGUGGAAUUUCGUGUGUAGCGGUGAAAUGCGUAAAUAUAGGAAGGAACAUCAGUGGCGAAGGCGACUACCUGGACUGAUACUGACACUGAGGUGCGAAAGCGUGGGGAGCAAACAGG
rnacentral:rRNA from 1 species